AAACAUAAAGGUUUGGUCCUGGCCUUAUAAUUAAUUGAAGGUAGAAUUACACAUACAAAACUCCAUGCGCCAGUGUCAAAUCCCUAGAAUUUAAUUUUAAGCUCUAAGGAGAGGGUAUCAAGCACAUUAUUAUAGCUAAAGACACCUUGCCUAGCCACGCCCCCACGGGACACAGCAGUGAUAAAAAUUAAGCAAUAAACGAAAGUUUGACUUAGUAAUACCUUACAUAGGGUUGGUAAAUUUCGUGCCAGCCACCGCGGUCAUACGAUUAAACCAACCUAAUGAUCUUUGGCAUAAAACGUGUUAUAAACUUAAAUCAAUAGAAUUAAAACCCAACUAAUAUGUGAAAAUUCAUAGUUGGCAUUAAACUCAAUUACGAAAGUAAUUCUAAUCGUAUCAAUACACGACAGCUAAGACUGAAACUGGGAUUAGAUACCCCACUAUGCUUAGCAUUAAACAUGAGGAGUUAAAUAAAAAAAAAAAAAACCCUUGCCUGAGAACUACUAGCCUCAGCUUAAAACUCAAAGGACAUGGCGGUACUUUAUAUCCAUCUAGAGGAGCCUGUUCUAUAAUCGAUAAACCCCGUU
rnacentral:ncRNA from 1 species